UACGGCUAAAUCACGUUGAGGCACCGGUUCUCGUCCGACCACCGAAGUUAAAUAAUGUCGAGCCUUUCAGUACUUAGAUGGGUGACCGCUUGGGAAUACCAGUUGCCGUAA